rnacentral:rRNA from 1 species
GACGAACGCUGGCGGCGUGCCUAAUACAUGCAAGUCGAGCGGAUGGAAGGGAGCUUGCUCCCGACCGUCAGCGGCGGACGGGUGAGUAACACGUGGGCAACCUGCCCCUAAGAUCGGGAUAACUUCGGGAAACCGGAGCUAAUACCGGAUAUGAUUAUUUCUCACAUGAGAGAUAAUGGAAAGACGGUUUCGGCUGUCACUUAGGGAUGGGCCCGCGGCGCAUUAGCUAGUUGGUGAGGUAACGGCUCACCAAGGCGCCGAUGCGUAGCCGACCUGAGAGGGUGAUCGGCCACACUGGGACUGAGACACGGCCCAGACUCCUACGGGAGGCAGCAGUAGGGAAUCUUCCGCAAUGGACGAAAGUCUGACGGAGCAACGCCGCGUGAGUGAAGAAGGUUUUCGGAUCGUAAAACUCUGUUGUUAGGGAAGAACAAGUACCAUAGUAACUGAUGGUACCUUGACGGUACCUAACCAGAAAGCCACGGCUAACUACGUGCCAGCCGCCGCCGUAAGAC